UGGGGAAUUUUGGACAAUGGGCGCAAGCCUGAUCCAGCCAUGCCGCGUGCGGGAAGAAGGCCUUCGGGUUGUAAACCGCUUUGUCAGGGAAGAAAUCUUCUGAGUUAAUACCUCGGGAGGAUGACGGUACCUGAAGAAUAAGCACCGGCUAACUACGUGCCAGCAGCCGCGGUAAUACGUAGGGUGCAAGCGUUAAUCGGAAUUACUGGGCGUAAAGCGUGCGCAGGCGGUUUUGUAAGACAGAGGUGAAAUCCCCGGGCUCAACCUGGGAACUGCCUUUGUGACUGCAAGGCUUGAGUGCGGCAGAGGGGGAUGGAAUUCCGCGUGUAGCGUGAAAUGCGUAGAUAUGCGGAGGAACACCGAUGGCGAAGGCCAAUCCCCUGGGGCCUGCACUGACGCUCAUGCACGAAAGCGUGGGGAGNAAACCAGGAUUAGAUCCCCUGGUA
rnacentral:rRNA from 1 species